rnacentral:lncRNA from 1 species
AAUUUGAUUGAUGAUAAAAAUGUGUUAAAGGUUGGUGGUGGAGUAGGUAAAAGGGUAAGAGGAGAAGUUCUCAAAAGAAUCAAUAAAAGGGUGGUGGUGGUGGUGAUGCAUAUGAGAUUCCAAAGACAGGUGGUAUAGGCCCUUCAUAUACAGGUGGUGGUGGCGGCGAUGAAUAUACCGGUGGUGGAGGUGAGGGAUAUGCAUAUACUGGUGAUGGUGGGGGUGAGGUGUAUACCGGUGGUGGCGGUGAGGGAUAGGCAUAUACUGGUGAUGGUGGUGGUGAUGGGGAUGGUGGUGGGUGAUAAGGUGUUUGAUGUGGCGCUGGCGAUGAUGGUGGUGGAGGUUCUACACAAGGUGGCGGUGGAGGUGGUGGAGGUUCUACACAAGGUGGUGGAGAUGGCGGUGGUGGUGAAUAGACUGGUGGUGGAGGUGAGUGUACUGGAGGAGGUGGUGGGGGUGAUAAAUAUGGAUAUACGGGUGGAGGAGGUGAGUGAGGUGGUGGUGGUGGCGAA